GGGAAACUGCCUGAUGGAGGGGGAUAACUACUGGAAACGGUAGCUAAUACCGCAUAACGUCGCAAGACCAAAGAGGGGGACCUUCGGGCCUCUUGCCAUCAGAUGUGCCCAGAUGGGAUUAGCUAGUAGGUGGGGUAAUGGCUCACCUAGGCGACGAUCCCUAGCUGGUCCGAGAGGAUGACCAGCCACACUGGAACUGAGACACGGUCCAGACUCCUACGGGAGGCAGCAGUGGGGAAUAUUGCACAAUGGGCGCAAGCCUGAUGCAGCCAUGCCGCGUGUAUGAAGAAGGCCUUCGGGUUGUAAAGUACUUUCAGCGGGGAGGAAGGUGUUGAGGUUGAUAACCUCAGCAAUUGACGUUACCCGCAGAAGAAGCACCGGCUAACUCCGUGCCAGCAGCCGCGGUAAUACGGAGGGUGCAAGCGUUAAUCGGAAUUACGGGGCGUAAAGCGCACGCAGGCGGUCUGUCAAGUCGGAUGUGAAAUCCCCGGGCUCAACCUGGGAACUGCAUUCGAAACUGGCAGGCUAGAGUCUUGUAGAGGGGGGUAGAAUUCCAGGU
rnacentral:rRNA from 1 species